AUCAGUACUGUGCUUUUGGAGGAUUCAGAAGAAGUUAUAUCUGAUUGGGAGAUUGAAAAGGAUUGGCCUGAAGGAGAGGUGGUUUUUGAACUGCAUCUUAAAGGAUGGAGUCUUGCUCUGUCAUCCAGGCUGGAGUACAAUGGCGCAAUCUCGGCUCACUGCAACCUCUGCCUCCUGGGUUCAAGCAAUUCUCCUGCCUCAGCCUCCCGAGUAGCUGAGAUUACAGGCACCCGCCACCACACCCGGCUAACUUUUUGUAUUUUUAGUAGAGACGGGGUUUCACCAUGUUGCCCAGGCUGGUCUCGAACUCCUGACCUCAUGAUCUGCCCACCUCGGCCUCCCAAAGUGCUGGAAUUACAGCUGUGAGCCAUUGCGCCCAGCCAGUUAGGAUAUUUUUUAAAAAUUGUUUUUCCAGCUUAAGUUUAGGGAGUAAGGGUGAUUACAAGGGACAACAUAGAAAAAUUGAGAGAACUCUGGCUUUGGAGGCAAACAACCCGUGGGUGGAAUCCUGGCUCCACCACUUACAAGCUGGAUGGCUUUGGUCAAGUUACUUCACUUCUCUUUCCUUCUAUUUCCCCACCCCCCGAUAAGGAAAUGAUUAAUAAUAACUAACAUUU
rnacentral:lncRNA from 1 species